rnacentral:rRNA from 1 species
UCUGACCGUGCAAAGGUAGCGUAAUCACUUGGUUCUUUAAAUAAGGACUAGUAUCAACGGCAUCACGAGGGUUGCACUGUCUCCUUUUUCUAAUCAGUGAAAUUGAUCUCCCCGUGAAGAAGCGGGCAUAAAACCAUAAGACGAGAAGACCCCAUGGAGCUUUAAACCAUAAGGCAACUUAAUAAAAUAAACCUUUAUAACCAUUAAGAAACAUGCACAUCGGUUUUAGGUUGGGGUGACCACGGAGAAUAAAAUAACCUCCACGACGAAAAGACCUAAAUCUUUAUCCAUGAACUACUAUUCUAAGAAUUAGCAUACUAACGUACUAUGAUCCGAUUAUCGAUCAACGAACCAAGUUACCCUGGGGAUAACAGCGCAAUCUACUUCAAGAGCCCAUAUCGACAAGUAGGCUUACGACCUCGAUGUUGGAUCAGGGUAUCCUAGUGGUGCAGCCGCUACUAAAGGUUCGUUUGUUCAACGAUUAAAACCUUACGUGAUCUGAGUUGAGACCCGGAGAGA